CGCAAGGCCAUUAAUAUAAUACAACUUUUAACAACGGAUCUCUUGGCUCUCGCAUCGAUGAAGAACGCAGCGAAAUGCGAUAAGUAAUGUGAAUUGCAGAAUUCAGUGAAUCAUCGAAUCUUUGAACGCACCUUGCGCUCCCUGGUAUUCCGGGGAGCACGCCUGUUCGAGUGUCGUGAAAUUUCUCAAAGCUUGGAUGGCCUUUUUUUGUCUGUCCUUAGCCUUGGUUGUUGGGCUUUGCCGUGUCCUGUAUUGGGACGGCUGGCCUUAAAAACAUUAGCUGAUCCUUGUGCGGCACUGGUUCUACUCAGCGUGAUAAUAGUCUGAUCGCUGAGGACGUCUUUUGGGAUGGCCAGUGCUCAUUUGGGUUGCUUAUAGACCUGGUCUUGCAGAUUCUUCAAUCUGUGGUUCCACUUUUCAGCUUUGACCUCGAAUCAGGUGGGACUACCCGCUGAACUUAAGCAUAUCAAUAAGCGGAGGAAAAGAAACUAACAAGGAUUCCCCUAGUAACGGCGAGUGAAGCGGGAAGAGCUCAAAUUUAAAAUCUGGCAAUCUUUGG
rnacentral:rRNA from 1 species